UUUCUAUUAUUAUUAUUUUGCUUUUUAGGGCCACAGCAUAUGGAAGUUCCCAGGCUUGGGGUUGAAUCAGGGCUACAGUUGCUGGCCUAUCGCUCAGCCACAGCACAGACGAUCUGAGGCUCCUCUGCAACCUACCUCACGGCUCACGGUAAUGUAGGAUCCUUAACACAGCUGAGCGAGGCCAGGGUCAAAUCAGCAUCCUCAUGGAUACUAGUCGUGUUCACUACUGGUGAGCCAUGACAGCAGCUUCUUUUUUAUGUAUUUAUUUUUUCACAGGUUAAAUUUUAGAAUAUAGAGUUCUGAACAUAAGUUACUAGGGUGGGUUUGAACUUUAUCUUGGAGUUUAAUCCCCUCUCCUUUCUAGAAAUUCCUGAUCAGAGUUAUUGUCUCACAUAAAAAUUAAAAAAAAGUUGAAAUAAAUAAAUGAACACUGCCUCAUGAGAAAAAAGUGAGAAGCAAUGGAAGAAGCUGAUGGUCAACUAAGAUUUACCAGUGGUAUUUUAAGUCUUUUAAUUUCAAACAGUCUGAUCCUCUUAUCUCUCAAAGUAAAGGCAAUGAUGUGUUAACUUCUGGGGUUGCUUGGUAGAUUAAAAUUAGUUAGAUGACCAAUGAAUAGUAACCUUUAUUAUUUCAAUCAGUGAAACAUAUCACCGAAACAUAAAUACUAGCACUAAAAAUAAUGCAGCAUUUUUACAAGUUAAUCUAUUUCUUGUUGUCUGAUAAAAUGCAAUUUUAGACCAGAUGUACCUGCAAAGUAUGCUAUGUAAUUCUGCCAAAGAUCUGGACAUACAAUUUAUCUUUUUAAAAGCUUAAAAGGUGGGAGUUCCCUUCAUUGCUCAGCGGUUAACGAACCUGACUAGGAUUCAUGAGGAUGCGGAUUCAAUCCCUGGUCCUGAUCAGUGGGUUAAGGACCCCGCAUUGUACUGAGCUCUGGUAUAGAUCUCAGAUAUGUCUUGGACCCCGUGUGGCUAUGGCUGUGGCCUGGCCAGCAGCUGUACCUCAAAUCUGACCCCUGUCCUGGGAACUAUGCCGUGAGUGUGGCCCUAAACAGCAAAAAAAGACUUAAAAAGGUAAUACUGGGAAUGAAAAACCUGGAAAUAUCAUCGUCUUCACCAAAUGAUAAAGGUUAAAAUGAACAAUGAUAAUUCCUGUUUAUAUUAUGUACCUGUGAUAUAAGAAAGGUCACUAGUCUCUGCUGUAUCCUUCCCC
rnacentral:lncRNA from 1 species